rnacentral:lncRNA from 1 species
UCAUAUAAAUGAAGAACUUUACACCCUCUACUGUCGACGUUGAAUACAUAUUUGUUUUUCUUAAUCCAGUUACCGGAAACAAUAAUUACCGGAUCCAUAACCAACUGAGAAAGAUGAAGACGAUAGAUAACUAAGAUGAAGAAGAACAUGAACAGUCUCAUAAAGCAAGUUAUAAAUUUCGUUCGUUAGUGAUGACAUGGCAAGGAGUUUGUUGACAUGGCGGAUUCCGAGUCUGUAUCUUAUAUUUUUUUACAAAACUCAGCCAAAAAGUUAACAUUACCUUAGCCUUUAAGUAACAAUAACUCGGCUAUCACGUAUUUAAUUAACCCAGCCAUGUCGUAUUUAAUAACACUCCAAC